GCCCUGGUGACAUAACACUUAAGCGCUUGGCUGCUAACCAAAAGGUUGGUGGUUCGAACCCACCCUGUGGCA
rnacentral:tRNA from 1 species